rnacentral:rRNA from 1 species
AUUGAACGCUGGCGGCAGGCCUAACACAUGCAAGUCGAGCGGUUGAAGGGAGCUUGCUCCCUGAUUCAGCGGCGGACGGGUGAGUAAUGCCUAGGAAUCUGCCUAUUAGUGGGGGACAACGCUUCGAAAGGAACGCUAAUACCGCAUACGUCCUACGGGAGAAAGCAGGGGACCUUCGGGCCUUGCGCUAAUAGAUGAGCCUAGGUCGGAUUAGCUUGUUGGUGAGGUAAUGGCUGACCAAGGCGACGAUCCGUAACUGGUCUGAGAGGAUGAUCAGUCACACUGGAACUGAGACACGGUCCAGACUCCUACGGGAGGCAGCAGUGGGGAAUAUUGGACAAUGGGCGAAAGCCUGAUCCAGCCAUGCCGCGUGUGUGAAGAAGGUCUUCGGAUUGUAAAGCACUUUAAGUUGGGAGGAAGGGUUGUAGAUUAAUACUCUGCAAUUUUGACGUUACCGACAGAAUAAGCACCGGCUAACUCUGUGCCAGCAGCCGCGGUAA